rnacentral:lncRNA from 1 species
CAUUAAAAAAAAUAAAAAACUUCAAAUACCACUCUUGUGGUUUCACACUUUCUCAAUUUAGUAUCCUUUGGUUUAAAGUGUAUCAAUUUAGUGCUUCGUGGUUUCAUUUUUAUUUUUUUAUUAUCGAUUUCACUAAUUUUUUUGUUAAAUCAGUGUCAAAGUUAAAACUAAACGGUACUAAAGGAAAUAUUCAAUAAACUUAGGUUGGGUAUCUAAAAUUUUUUGUGUAUAAUUUAACAAAAUAUUAACGAAAAUGCUGACGAAAAUAUAAAAAUGAAACCACAGGAUACUAACUUGAUACACUUUAUAAACCACAUGAUACUAAAAUGAGAAAGUGUGAAACCACAGAAGUGGUAUUUAAAGUUUACCCUAAAAAAGUUUUUAAAUUUUUUAUUUUUUUUACACAUUCUUAAAAAACGAAGCGUUUUCGUUUUCCGCUCUCUUCGAGCGGAAAACAAAACCUCGCGCUGAAAAUCGCGACACAGAAAAUGUGUUACCAUGCGGUCCAGAAAGAGGAACUUCACCUCGUGCACCGCGUGAGGGAGAGUCCACGAGGACCUGGACCCGUGGACUCUCUCUCCCUCAUUCAUUUUUUAUAUAUACAUAUAAUACUUAUUUUUAUAUAAUAUAUUACUAUAUAAUAUUAUAUUUAUAAAUAUUAUAGUAAUAUAUUUUCGAACUAGGCUAGAUAGCUAUCAAUAGCUCCAAGUUAUUGAUGCUAUUAGAUUUUCGGCCCUUGGAUGAAGAAAUAUACGGUUAAGAUGAUAUAGGCCUCUAGGGUUGGGUGAGUUGUUGGUUGAAUAGUAUAAUUUAGCGGGUGAAAAUAGUCAAAGAAUUAAAUCUAACAGUGUAAAAAUUGGUAGCACUAAAUUCUUGGUGUUAUCGAUAGUAUCUCAACCGGACCGGUAGCACUAAGUUCUUGAUGCUAUCGAAAGUAUCUCAACCGGACUCUAUAUUUUAUAGUACUAAAUAUAAUAUAUUAUUAUGUAUUAUAUUACAUACAUAUUGUAUAAUAUAUUUUAAAUAUAUUUAUUAUAAAAAAAACUAUAAUAAUAAUAUAUAUAGUAUAAUAAUUAUUGUAUAUUAAUAAUAAAUAAUAUAUAUAAUAAAAAAAUUAGUAUAUAAUAGUUUUUUUUUUUU